rnacentral:lncRNA from 1 species
AGUGGAUACUGAAAAGCAGAUGAAGCUGGUGUUACUUGAUUGCUUGUGCCCGUGUUUGGGUGAAUAGAGGCACGAGCCCCCGGCAGCCUGCAUGUUAAGCUGACUCUGUGUCUCUUUGCCAUUCAUGCUUGUUCACCCCAGGUCAGGGACAACAAAGUAGCAGGUCCAGGUCCCAGAACGCGGACAGCAACAGUGGGUCUCCUACAGCUGGCACCUUGAACAGGGAGAGGGGACGCCUUCAGCUAUAUGAUCUGUUUCACAACAACCCUCCAGAGCGCUGGGAUUCCAGGUGUGUGCCACCGUGCCUGCCCAGCUCCAGCUCCACCUCCAGCUCCUUUGCAAUGAUGUUUCACAACCUCUUCAAGUGCCAGGGUGGCAUUGCAAACACUGUUUGAAGGUCAAGCCAAACCCUGAAGGGUCUUCAUCAACUUGCCCUUUUUGCUGACAGUUGAACUGGCCCGGCUCAUGCCAAGGCAAGGGAGCCAACCAUGCGUAGGUUGUGACAACUGAGAAGCCAUCCAGCCCCAGACCUUGCUAAUAUUCUUACGGCUAACUUAAACAGCCAUAUCCCAAAACACUCAGUUCAUUUCCUCUGUUAGGUAUGAAUAUAUCAAACUAUAUCUGAAAUUAGGACCAAACAAAACAACUGUGUCCAACAUGAAAUACUUUUAAAAAUUAUUUUAUGGUGGCUGUUUUAGCCAUGUAGGGUUGGUUUCUUUUUCUUCUGAGAAACACCCUUCUUCAGGAGGAGGGGAGCUGUGACUCCCUUGUGCUUUCUGCACCCUAGCACAAUCGGGGAGCUCCGCAGGUGACGGUAUUUUACAGCUAGACGAGCUCUUGUUGUAAAUUUUUACUCUGGGAAAUGUUAAGCAUAUACACAGUUGUACCUGGUAUCGAGG